rnacentral:tRNA from 1 species
GCGAGAGUGGCGGAACAGGCAGACGCGCUGGAUUUAGGAUCCAGUAUCUUAACGAUGUGUGGGUUCAACUCCCAUCUCUCGCA